CAGCAGUAAACAACAGUGGCCAACUCUGGAACUAACAGACUAUGUCAAGGGCAGUUUAAAUGACAAAUGGAAACUAUUUUUGGACACAUUGUUCGGGGCCGGCGGUCCGUUGUAUCCGAUAUCCGUUAUAUAAGGGUCUUCAAUCAACCUACCACGCAUGUUUUUGGGAUGUGGGAGGAAACCGGAGUACCCGUAGCAAACCCACGCAGGCACGAGGAGAACAUGCAAGCUCCACACAGGCCGGACCAAGAUUUGAACACCGGUCCACAGAACUGUGAGGCAGAUGUGGUAGGCAGACACCAUGUCGUGAAGGAACAUGAUGAGCUCGGCGUCCAUGGUCACACAGAUGUGGUCUGUGAAUUCUGUCACCACGCUGCACUCUACCUUUGGUUUGCUGUUGGAAUCUGGGAAUAUAAAAAAAUAUAUAAAAUUAGUCACAUCGUCUUUCUUAGCAACAGAUCUGACCUUUAACAACACAUCGGGUCACAAGAACUAAUAGAGGGAUCAAAACUGUGGAGCCUCUGUUCCGGGAUUCUGGUCCACCCGCGAUUUGCUCACGUUUCGAAAAAAAUUAUUUAUAGUAAUCUUGUCUGGCGCACGCCCGGAUUUGUUUGUGUGCAUUCACGCCUGCACAAAUGGUCUAGAGUCUAGACCAAGGAGGAAACAAACUCUGGUGCAUUAAAAGCAGACCAAACGUGGCAGGUGUGAAUCCACCCUAGAAAUAAGUCAACGCCUAUUAACAUUAAAGGGAUACCGCAAACCGGAAAUGACAUGGCCAGAAAUAUUGUAUGCACACAAUUGUUAGU